GCAUCACUGCCAGUUUUUUUCCACUGUUUCAAUGAUUUUUUCGACGGUGUCGACAAGACGACGACUGAAAAAUACUUGUAUAUCUUCUUCAUAUUCUCAAUUUAGUUUUUUACCUCGAAAUGCCACGGUCAGUAUUCUUUUAAAUAUUCGGCCAUAUCCUUAAUUUCUGCGAUAUUUCCUCACGUCCAUUCCGUAUGUCUAGAAUUGGCCACAAGGGUCCCACAAAUCUCUUAUCCAAUGAUAAGAUUGGUUUGAUGUAUCCUUUUUAAGGAUUUAAUGUUUGUUAACUUCUCCAUUUUUCACAUCUUAUUUUGUUGUUUUUGGUGAUAGUUCACACGAUAGGGUUGAAAAGGGGUUACGAAAAUCGAAUCAACUUUUUACCCCAUGAAUAUCCUAUUUAAAACAAAACUGAGUGUUUCCACUAACCAUAUGGUACAUAGAUGUGCCCGUUCAUACAACCAACAUGUCACACAGCCAACACAGAAAAUUAAAUCCCAGGGUCUUCGGAUCUGGUGUUCGGCAACGCCUUGCAUGUAGUUCUGGGUUUCUGUUUUGCUUGCAGCUUACUUUAUUGUAUGGGUGCACACGCAUUUUCACGUACUUUCUACCGCAAGGCAGCGUGCUUGGGCCGACACUGUACUGCUUAUUCACCCACGACAUGCGAUAUCUCUCUACGGUCCGAAGGCAAACAGGGCAGACCCUCAAGGUGGCAACUUUUGCUGAUGACACAGCAGUACUCUCGAGGGCUAGCUGUGUCUAUGAUGCCACAGACAAUCUAAGCAAUACCUCAAGCUGUUUGAAAAUUGGGCCUGCCGAUGGAACAUCUCCAUAAAACCUGAUAAAUGUGCAGUGGUGACGCACUCUAUAAGAAUGGGCUCUGGACCUGGUGUCUUCCUGCUUGGGGAUUUUGUGGAGCAGCGUAGGAGUCCCACAUACCUCGGAGUUACACUGGAUGCACGUUUAACUUUCGACAGUCACAUCCGUAUCGUGAGGAGCAAGUUGGUGGGUAAGGUGUAAUAUGAGCUUUAGUUUUUACCGAGUUUGUUCGGUUCUCGUUUAUUACUCAUUCUGGGUUCUUAGGGGCUAAUUUAAUAAUAAAAGGCUGGGCGCUGCUUUGGCAGAGAAGCCAGCGUCAGCGCUGUACAUAAAUGUUUACAACAAACAUAUAAGUGGAUAAACAUGUAUGGCAACGGGAACGUUGCCAUUCGACGGAGGUUGGUUUUCACAAGUGGUCUAUUUCUUGGUCAGUAUCCCACGGAUAUGCUGACACUGCUUUGAUUGUGCCCGCUACACUCAAGGGCGAUCAUAUUGCAUCGCACUUGGAAUGUGCUGGGUACUUGUGUUUGUUGAGUCUACAACAAUGUGUAGUUGUUUUGAAUAAGUCUGUAAAUUAUGAGUUUGUAUAUUUGAUAUCUACUGAUUACAGUAUACUCUCGAUAUGUGCAUACGACAUCUCCCUCUUUUUGAAAAAUAACGUAAUUACAUGAAAUUAUUUUGUAGUGUAUAGCAAAACUUAUAAUAAUAAAUUUUCUUUUUUUUCUUUUAAAUUUAUAGUUUAUAAUUAUUUGUUUCUCUCGUUUGUGCGUUUAUUCAUGUUGUGAACUUUAAACAUAUUUUUAUUUAUUAUUCUCUUUUUUUUUUUUGAAAAUGCAGAAAUAUAAAAAAUACUUUGCAUUAAUCUAUUAAUGGUGAAAUAUACUUAUGUAUGGCCACAGUAAAAAUGCUUAUGAAACAAAAACUGUUAACCUAUCCGUAUGUACUUAUUGUUGUUUAUUUCUAUUGCCUUUAAUAAAAAUAUUGUUAUUAUCUUCUA